GGGAAAUUCUUCCUCUCUCAUCUCUCUCAUCUAUUGUCUGUCUAUCUGCCUUUCUUUCUCUCUCUCUCUCUAUAUAUAUAUACACCAGUUGUGGGUUGCUACCGGUUUGCCCCAGUUCGGGAGAACUUGUAGCAGUGGGUAGUGGGAGGCUCCGUCCACCCACUUGGACGUCAUCAAAUACAAUCUGUGCGUACGUGUGUGCAAACCAGUAGCAAAGAGCCCAGGUGGCCGGAGGAUUGCUGUCCACCGAACAUUGGAAGAUGGCCACGGUUCCCCUCUCGCUCUCCGUGAAAACGGACACCUGGAGGUUCCUCGGGGCGACUGAAACCAAAGAGCGACAUGACAUCAGGUGCUCCUGGACUUACGACCCCAAAUGGACCCAACAUUUAUGUUACUAAGUGAGACAGAAUAGAAUGAAUGAACUGAAAGGAGACCUUGGAGGUCUUCUAGUCUAGCCCCCUACUCAAGCAGGAGAACCUAUACCAUUUCAGUUGCUGUCUAGACUCGUCUUAAAAACUUCCAGUGUUGGAGCAUUCACAACUUCUGGUGGCAGGCUGUUCCACUGGUUAAUUGUUCUCACUGUUAGGAAGUUUUUCCUUAAUCCCAAGUUGCUUCUCUCCUCGAUGAGUUUCCAUUUGUUGUUUCUUGUUCUGCCUUCUGGUGCUUUGGAAAAUAAUUUGACUCCUUCUUCUUUGGGGCAGCCCCUCAAAUACUGGAAGGCUGCUAUCAUGUCCCCCCUAAUUCUUCUUUCCUCUAGCCUGGCCAAAUCCCA